rnacentral:rRNA from 1 species
CUUGACAUCCAGAGAACUUGGCAGAGAUGCCUUGGUGCCUUCGGGAACUCUGAGACAGGUGCUGCAUGGCUGUCGUCAGCUCGUGUUGUGAAAUGUUGGGUUAAGUCCGCAACGAGCGCAACCCCUAUCCUUUGUUGCCAGCGAUUCGGUCGGGAACUCAAAGGAGACUGCCGGUGAUAACCGGAGGAAGGUGGGGAUGACGUCAAGUCAUCAUGGCCCUUACGAGUAGGGCUACACACGUGCUACAAUGGCGUAUACAAAGAGAAGCGACCUCGCGAGAGCAAGCGGACCUCAUAAAGUACGUCGUAGUCCGGAUUGGAGUCUGCAACUCGACUCCAUGAAGUCGGAAUCGCUAGUAAUCGUAGAUCAGAAUGCUACGGUGAAUACGUUCCCGGGCCUUGUACACACCGCCCGUCACACCAUGGGAGUGGGUUGCAAAAGAAGUAGAUAGCUUAACCUUCGGGAGGGCGUUUACCACUUUGUGAUUCAUGACUGGGGUGAAGUCGUAACAAGGUAAGCGUAGCGAG